rnacentral:rRNA from 1 species
GACGAACGCUGGCGGCGUGCUUAACACAUGCAAGUCGAACGGAAAGGCCCUGCUUUUGUGGGGUGCUCGAGUGGCGAACGGGUGAGUAACACGUGAGUAACCUGCCCUUGACUUUGGGAUAACUUCAGGAAACUGGGGCUAAUACCGGAUAGGAGCUCCUGCUGCAUGGUGGGGGUUGGAAAGUUUCGGCGGUUGGGGAUGGACUCGCGGCUUAUCAGCUUGUUGGUGGGGUAGUGGCUUACCAAGGCUUUGACGGGUAGCCGGCCUGAGAGGGUGACCGGCCAAAUUGGGAAGGGGAAAGGGCCAAGACUCCAAGGGGGGGGAGGAGGGGGGAAUAUUGCAAAAGGGGGGGAAGCCGGAGGAAGAAACGCCGGGGGGGGGAUGACGGCCUUGGGGUUGUAAACCGUUUUCGCAUGGGACGAAGGGGGGGUGACGGUAAUGGGUAAAGAAACACCGGCUAAAUACGU